CCUCUCACCAGGUGUCUUACCUCUGUCCAGAGACAACUAUUGGCAGAACCUAUGUAAAAUCCAACUGCAAAAGAGGCUUAAAAGUAAAAGAAAUGAGCAGUUAUGAAAAAGGACAAGAAUUAUUCAAGCAGCAACACAAAAAAGAUCAAACAGAUUCACAGUUCAGGAAAAAAAAAUCCAGACUGAAGUUCCAAGAUUCACAGUACUGGCAUCCCAGAAUGAGAAAAAAAGACAGAACGAGGCAAUGGAAUAUUUAAAAAGACGAGAGCAGAGAAUUUUCCAAAACUGAAGAAAGAAAUCAAACCACAGAUCUAAGAAAUUCCAGGUGACUGUACCUCCCUAGCAAGAUGACAUGAGGUUCCUUUGCUGAAUUUGCCUGUUCUCAUUUAUGUAACUGUGCUCACGUGGAAGGUGAGCUCAGCAGGAAGGUCCCAAAUGGCCUCACUUAUGUCUGGCAGCUUGUACUGCUACCAAAAGUUAAUGAAGUUAACACCUAGGAGACUGGACGAGAAAAAUGGACAAAACGCAUAAGUGUCUACAAAAUGAGGACAAAUGCCAAAUCAAA